UACGUAGGGUGCAAGCGUUAAUCGGAAUUACUGGGCGUAAAGCGUGCGCAGGCGGUUUUGUAAGACUGUCGUGAAAUCCCCGGGCUUAACCUGGGAAUGGCGAUGGUGACUGCAAGGCUAGAGUUUGGCAGAGGGGGGUAGAAUUCCACGUGUAGCAGUGAAAUGCGUAGAUAUGUGGAGGAACACCGAUGGCGAGGGCAGCCCCCUGGGUCAAAACUGACGCUCAUGCACGAAAGCGUGGGGAGCAAACAGG
rnacentral:rRNA from 1 species